GGGACUCGGGUAAUGAUGGUAUUUAAGCUCUUCCAAUUAUCGAGCACCGACCCUGUCUGCGGCGGGCUCAGCACUUGGCAGGCAGCAGCUCGCAGUGUCACCCCAGAACUCCCGCGACGGAGGCCCUGCUCUUGGAGAGGAGGCAGCUGGGGCGCCCAGGCCCGUCCCGUGAUUAAGUUCAGGGCUCAGGAAUUUCUAACGGAUUCACGUUCACGCCGAUGCAGCGGGGCAGCCUGUCGCGUUGUAAUCUCACCUCUGGAAAUCAGAGAAUUUGAUUUAAGAUGACAAUCUCCAAACAAGAAAGUCUUUUACACAGGAAGAUGUUUGCAACAGUGCUAUUGAAAAUGGUGAGAAACUGGCCAACUACCUAGAGAUCUUAAAGGGGAGCGGUCAAAUGAACAACCGUCUAUCUCCUGGAAAAAUGUUAGAUAGACAUUUUUAAAAGGUGAUUACUCGGUAUUAACAGAAACAUUUCGUAAUAAUGUGAAAUUUGGCAUGAUUGUAGCUAUGUUAAAAAAACCACACACACACACACACACACAUACACACACACACCAAACUUGCAUCCAAAAUGCCUGCGUAGGAAAAAACAGCAAAAGAAAACACAGCAAAAUGCUAAUGGUUUAUGUGACCUUGGGUGACUUCUAAUUUCUUCUUUCCACUUCUCUAAAACAAGCAUGAAUAACUUAUACUAUGAUUAGUUACACU
rnacentral:lncRNA from 1 species